rnacentral:rRNA from 1 species
UACGUAGGGGGCAAGCGUUGUCCGGAAUCAUUGGGCGUAAAGCGCGCGUAGGCGGCCCGGUAAGUCCGCUGUAAAAGUCCAGGGCUCAACCCUGGAAAGCCGGUGGAUACUGUCGGGCUAGAGUCCGGAAGAGGCGAGUGGAAUUCCUGGUGUAGCGGCGGAAUGCGCAGAUAUCAGGAGGAACACCGAUGGCGAAGGCAGCUCGCUGGGACGGUACUGACGCUGAGGCGCGAAAGCGUGGGGAGCGAACAGG